AAAUGAAUAGACGGGGACCCGCACAAGCGGUGGAUGAUGUGGAUUAAUUCGAUGCAACGCGAAAAACCUUACCUACCCUUGACAUGCCAGGAACCGGCGAGAGAUUGCCGGGUGCCUUCGGGAGCCUGGACACAGGUGCUGCAUGGCUGUCGUCAGCUCGUGUCGUGAGAUGUUGGGUUAAGUCCCGCAACGAGCGCAACCCUUGUCACUAGUUGCCAUCAUUUGGUUGGGCACUCUAGUGAGACUGCCGGUGACAAACCGGAGGAAGGUGGGGAUGACGUCAAGUCCUCAUGGCCCUUAUGGGUAGGGCUUCACACGUCAUACAAUGGUCGGUACAGAGGGUUGCCAAGCCGCGAGGCGGAGCCAAUCCCAUAAAGCCGAUCGUAGUCCGGAUCGUAGUCUGCAACUCGACUACGUGAAGUCGGAAUCGCUAGUAAUCGUGGAUCAGAAUGUCACGGUGAAUACGUUCCCGGGUCUUGUACACACCGCCCGU
rnacentral:rRNA from 1 species